rnacentral:lncRNA from 1 species
UUCGCAAAUCACCUGGAGCUAACGAACGCUGGAUGAUUAAACUCGAUUAUUGAACCAAGGUCUUCUUUUUUUUAAUCUCAGAUAUCGUAGCAUUAUUUGAAGCAACAUUAUUGGAAAGUACCCUUGUUCCAAGUUAACUGCCGAAAGUUCCUCUCUAACAGCAAAGUGGGGAAGAAGUUCAAAGUCCAUCUUUCAAGCACUGUUGACCUUCCUUCUUUAAUCCGUGACUCGAAACAAGGGGUCCAUUUCAUUAAAGGAUUUUUCUUCCAGUUCUGUUUGUGAUUGAUUGAUUAAGAAAUGUAAAUGCAUAUUUUCUUAUUCAACUGAGCCCAUUUCCUUCAUUCACUGACUAAUUGGCUAUGUAGUGAUCAAUUUUGGUCCGGGUCCGCUAAAAAAUCCCAAACCUAUAUAUAAAAUAAAUAAAUAAAUAAUAAAAAAUCACAGUCCAAUUACAGAAACCAAUAGCCCAAACUAGCAACCCCCAACCAGUUACAUAACCCCAGCCCAACAACUAAACCUAACCCACACUUACAAGGCCCGAUAGGCCCAAAAUACUAAAAUUAGACAGAGACCUAGCUGUCUGCUUGCGCCGCAGCAGUCCGAGCCCCCCAGCGCCUCCGUCCACGCCAACCCUGGCCUCCGUACCGUCAAGCACAGCCUCCGUACGCCAACACAGUCCCGUACCCGAGCGCCACGCACCUGCACCUGCAAAGAAAUGGACAAAACGACAACAGACCCAACAACAAAUAGAAAGAAAGAAAAAAAAAACAUUGUAUUUUUUAUUAGCAUUUGGCUAUAAAGCCUACGGAUUCUGAUUGUAAAGGGGUUCCCCUUUUGAAAAUAUACAGAAAACAUAUGCAAUAGCAAAACAAAAAGGCAAUAGACGAAAUAAGGUGAUUUUCCCUUCGUUUUUUUUAAACUCUCUGCUCUUCCUUUUUUUUUUAUCUACUCGAGUCCUUUGUUAUUUUAUCAUCAGAAAAAAGAAAGUGAAGGAACUCACCUGCGUUCCGAGGCCUUCGAGUCCUCGCUGGUUUCGCCACCAUCGAAACACAGUGGUGAUCUGGGAAUGGUAAGCAAGACCUACGAAUCUCUUUGGUUCCACGAAGCCUUGAUCGACCGUUCUAGAGGUUGAAAGGAGGGGCAGAGGAACGGACGUGGGUAACCAUCGGUCAGCCGAAUGUUGGAGGGAGGAGUUUUGACCCUUUUCUUUUUGUUUUCUUCAAAAUAAGCGGCUGAGCAUUUUCCUAGGCUAGUUUAGGCUCUUAUGUGGGGGUAUUGGGUGAAGACGUUUGGGCCAAUGUCAAUGGUCUUAAAACAACACCCUUUGGAGCAACCCUAUACCCAAUAAUCUGGCCCAUACACACUCAAGGUCUGCAUAUCUGGUCGUGGAUGGGGUAUUUCCAACACAGUCCUCCUCCCUUCGUGCUAUUUUCAAAUCAGCCCAUGCUCUUACCUUGUUUGUUUUAAUUUGCCCCUGUAACUUGCAUCCGUUUGCAAUCUGACCCACUCCUAAACACAACGUUUUGGGGAUCUGGUAUUUUGCCAGCUUUAGUCCCUAGAUGUUUUUGUGCGUUGGGUGUUGGUCUUCUUAUUAUUAUUGUCUUAUUUUCUACUUACCUCAUGUAUUCUAGUUUAAUUUUAAUCGAGUCCUUUUAUUUUAUCUCCUUUUUAUUUUAUUUUAUUUUAUUUUAUUUUUACAUUUUUAAUUAAUCUUGGUAAUUACUUCUCCGUUCUCGUAAAUUCUUUUUUUGUGUAAUAUUAUUAUCAUGUUUCGCACUCUUUAAAUAUUUAUUUCCUUUAUACUAUUAUACAUACACAUAUGUUAUAACAAAGUUAAUGUAUUUGCAUGUAUGUAAUGAUGCUUGACUCUAUUCAUGUAUUUUGGUGUAUAUUUUUUUUACUAUUUUAACACGUUUUGUACAUAUAUUUUGCGUAAAGUUUAAAUUAUUUUUAUACUCAUUUAUAUUAGUACACAUAUUCUAUAUAUUUCUAAAUCUAUACGUUUAUAUAUACACUCUCUUUACACAAAAGCAUGUUUUUUUAUCUAUUGUUAAUUUAUUAUAAAAUUAAUUUAGCUCUAUGAAUAUUAUCUCUUUUAUGUAGUUUUACAUGUAAUUAUUUUCAAAAGUUAUAUAUACAUACAUAUAUAUAUUGAUAUCAUUACUUUAAUAGGUUUUCCUACUUACAACUUUUUUGCUAUAUGAGUUAUCAAGUAUUUUCUUUAUGCAUGUAUAUGGAAGAAUUUUAGAAACUUUUUUUGUAAUUAUUAUUUUUGGAUGUUCCUUUGUAUUAAACCACUUUGUGUUUUAUAUAGUCCCUUAUUUAAACGUUUUGAUAUAAACGCAUGUAUAUACUUUUUAGACUAAGUUAAAGUUUUUUAUUAAUCUAAUGAUUAUUUUUAUAGCUAUCUAUAUAUACAUACGUUUUAUGAACAUACUUUGUGUACUAUAUUUUGCCAUAUGUCUUCAUUAUUCCUUUUUAUAUUAGACAUAUUAUUCAAGAUCGUCAUGUAGUUUGUCAACUUUAAAAUACGUUUGUGUUUUUAAAAAAUUUUUACAUGCAAUUCGAUUCAAACUUUUAUUCUAUAAUAUCUAUUCCAAAAAUCAUAUAGCUAUCCUUAGUUUUUGUGCAAGUUUGUCAACCUAUAUAUAUGGGUCCAUUUAUUCGUUAUUAAUUCAAAACCGUUUUAUAGCACAUUGGCUUCUAAUUGUUAUGUUGUUUUUAUAUCUUGCAUUGGUUAUCCUAUAUCACGCUAUGUACAUUAUCGUGGCAUAUUAUUGCAUGUAUUGUUUUGCUUGUGUGAUUGUUAUCAUUUUCGUCAUUGUAUUAAUCAUUUUAUUCCCCAUGCAUUAUUGUAAUUGUAUUACUUUUUAGAUUAGUCCAGCUUAAUUAUUAGCUUAUUAGUGGACCAUGUCUCGUACACACCCUUUAUCCUAUAUCAUCAUUUCUCACUUAGUUUGCGAAAUAUGGUUCUUUUUAUAAAAUUCAAACUUCUUACGAUUAACGUCAUCUUAUUUCAAAUCGAAUUAAUAUGUUUUUAAGUAUUCAUCCAAAAGUUCUUCAAAACGAAGACGAGAUUCGAUGUUUGGCAAUUCACGGAAUCGUGCCCUAACGUGUUGGGUUGCAAUUUCGCGUUUGCUCAAAAUAAUAGAAUAUCACUUCGAAAUUUCACUCGCGUCUUUUAAAAUUCUUCAAAACGAAGACAAGAUUCGAUAUUUAGCAAUUCGCGGAAUCAUGCCCUAACGUGUUAGGUUGCAAUUUCGUGUUUGCUCAAAAUAAUCGAGUAUCCCUUCAAAAUUUCAUUCAUAUCUUCUAAAAAUUAUUUAAAACGAAGGCAAUAUUUGGCGUUUGACAAUUCAAAAAUCAUGCCCUAUCGUGCUGGGUUGUGAUUUCUCGUUUGCUCAAAACGAUCGAACAUUCCUUUAUAUUUUCAUUCAUGUUUAUAAAAAAUUUACUUAACAACGAAGACGAUGUUCAAUGUUUGGUGAUUUGAGAAUCGUGCCCUAUCAUGCUGGGUUGCGCUUUUUCAUUGGUUCGAAACAAUUGAACAUCCUUACAGAAUUUCACUCGCAUUUUCUAAAAUCCUUCAAAAUGAAGGCGAUGUUCAAUGUUUGGCGAUUUGAGAAUCAAGCCCCAUCGUGCUGGGUUGUGCUUUUUCAUUUGCCCAAAAUAAUCGAUUAUCUCCUCGAAAUUUUCACACGUAUUUUAUAAAGUAAGGCAAUGGUCAAUAUUUGGAAAUUCGAAGAAUUGUACCCUACUGUGCUGGGUUUCGAGUUUUCGUUGGAUUAAAUAGUUGAGCAUCCUUCUGUAAUUCUCAAAUUAUAUACUUUCGAACAUCGAAACAAGAAAUUUUGGCAACCAACUCGGAUUACUCAAACGUUAUAAAAGGAACCCCAUUUCAAAAAAACUUUUAAUUUAGACAUAAGGACAGUAUUUAAUCGAUUUGAUACCAAUUUUGGGCGUAGUGAGGGUGCUAAUCCUUCCUCAUGCGUAACCGACUCCCGAACCCUUUUUCUCAAAAGUUCGUAGACCAAAAUCGCUGUUUUAAUAAACCAAAAAUGUUUUAUUGAACUAACCUCAUUCUUAGGUGAUCCGGUCACACCAAAAAGAUCAGUGGCGACUCCAUAUUUCUAUUUUCCAAAAAGUCGAUUUCCCUCCUUUUUUUCUAAUUUAAUUUUUUUUAAAUCGAGGGAUGGUUUCGACAGCUUGGUGACUCCGCUGGGGAGUGAACUUGAGUCCAGCCAUAAAAAUCGAUUAUUUGCUGUCCUUUUGUCAAAAAUUAAAAAUCUGUUUUAGAAAUCAUGUAUCUUUCGAUUGCAUUUGAUUGUAUGUUUGUUUUGGUGCGGGUAUUGUAGAAUAGCACUGCAUUUUAUUGCAUGACUACUGUGGUCACACCUUCUAAGUGGGAGUAAGAAGCUACGCUUUCGUGAGGUUUUCACCUCCGCAUGGGCUAGUGGAUUGCUGCCGGGGUACAUCCGUACCUAUGAUUUCGUGAGAUUUUCAUCUUCCCAUGGUCAUAGGGAAAUGUAUCCCCCUGAACCAAACUUGAUCUAUAUGAGCCUAUAAUGGGUGAGGAUUGAGGAAUCUACUGGUUCGGGUACCUCUUUUCCUAGAACUAAACCACAUAUAGUGAACCUUAGGAGCUAUCCUUGGGUGAAGCUGCGUCGAGCCUUAGUACUUACCCGUAUAUGCGUUAUAAUUAUCGUUUAUGUGCUUGCACUCUAUUUUUAUUAUUUGAUACUAACCGGUGUUUUAUUUUGAUUGUCUUUUUGCAUGACAUUGCAUACUAAAGGAGGCGUUAAUCCAUAUUCAAUUACUAAGUUAGAAAAUUUGACAUGGGGAAUGAAUUUUUUAAUAAAGUCGAGGAUAAUGCGGCCGUUCGUGCAUGGUCAGAGAGGCUACAAUCUGAGAGAAGGGAUAGCUUGGCAGAAGGGCAUGUGUCGGAGCUGCAGGAUUUCACUCGCGUCAAUGUAGUACAGAAUGAGCUGCAAGAGUUGAGAGACAUUUGGGCUAGUUGGGAUGAAAGGAUCAAGCAGUUGUUUUACCAAAGCUAUGGUGACAUAUCCUACCUGCUAGAUAUUAGAGUGGAUAAGCAUUUGUUCCAAGCCUUGGUACAGUUUUGGAAUUCUGCGUACAAGUGUUUCACUUUUGGAGAAGUGGAUUUGGUACCUACCAUAGAGGAAUACACUAUGCUGCUUAGAUGUCCAAAUAUUUAGGUCCGGAAGACUUAUGCCCGGGUUUUUAGUAAUCAAGCUUUCGCGAAGAAACUGAUGAGCAUUUCUGGGAUGAGCGAGCCUUGGGUCACUGCUCAGAUUCAACAAAAAGGAGAUAGCAAAUGUGUCCCUUGGGAGAAUUUGCGAGAUUUGAUCUUGACUCAUCCAGAAGAAAGAAAGAGGGUCGAUAUAUUUACCUUAAGCAUCUACGGAUUAGUGAUCUUUCCUAAGACUUUGAAGCAUGUGGACAAGGUGGUCAUUGACUUGUUUGAUCGUCUUGAAAAGGGAAUCACACCGGUACCAGCAAAUUUGGUAGAAACGUUCAGAUCUUUGAGCUCAUGUCGGAAGACGGGCUAGGGGCGAUUUAUUGAAUGUGCUCAACUAUUGAUGGUAUGGUUUCAUGGGCACUUUUGGAAGGUAGACAAGGUUUCCUAUCGAGUCUUUUCUGAAGGUUAUUCCCCUUUGAAAGAAAAGACAGCUAUACAGAGGAGAGAGGAUAUCUCAGAGGAGAAGUGGAUGGAUAUUUUUCAGAACCUCAAGGAGGAGGAUAUCAAGUGGAGAGCUUAUUGGAUGGUUCCUGAUGGGAUCAUGUACCGAUAUGGUAACUUUGAUUGGGUGCCAUUGUUAAGAAUCUGGGGAGCUAUCGGGUAUACUCCGUUGAUAGCCUUGAGGCAAUACAAGUCGAGAUAGUUUGUACCCACGACCUAUGGACUUGCUCAGAGUGAAUUCUCGUUUAAAGGUUCUCACUAUAAGAAGAGAGUUCGGGAGUUAUCGGAUGCUUGGAAGCAAACUUGUUGGAUGAAGAGGUUAGCUGUCGGUUCUAUGGUAACGCCCGAGUACAGCGAGUGGUUUAAGAAGAGGAUUAAUGACAAUAUUCCUAAGCCAAGCUUGGAGAGUGCUCGACCUGUCGGGGAACAAUUACAAGUCGCCCCAUCAGAAUUGGAGAUUAUAAGAUAAGAUUUCGAGAAGAAGAGUUUGGAGCUUGGGAAGAAGAUCGAACAAUUGGAGGAAGAAAAGAUGCACCUAAGAUUAGAGGCUGAUGUCCAGAGGUCAGAGGCUGAGAAGUGGAGAAAGGAAAAAACUAAGGCUGAAGAAGAUCUAGACAGUUUGAAAAUGGACUACAAGAAGUUACGCCUAUCUAUGAAGACUGCGGGUUUAGGUAAGACUUCUGAACAAUGGCGCCAUGAAAUUCGAGAAGAAAAGGCCAAUACUGACUGGUGGGAAAGGAAAUUCCAAGAAGCUCAGGCACGAAACGAAGAUUUGGAGAAAAGUCUAUUGGAAAACAGAAAAUAAGCGAAGGGAAUUAAGGGCUAGAGUGGCAGAACUUGAGAAGUCUCUACAUCAGUACUGAAACCGCAACACCGCAUUAGAAUUGAGGGUGAGCUUGAGCAAGAUAGAAGAAAUGAAAGGAAGAAUAGAAGAGUUAGAGGCGUCUCUGCAAAAUUGUGAGAUGCAGAUCCAGUUUUUCGAGGCAAAUGAGGAUCGUUGGAAGGAGUAGCUUCACCAUGCGCAAGACCAAGUCAGAAACAGAGAUUACCUUAUAGGGGAGGCCAUAACCCAAAUUCGGAAAGUAGCGGACUACUUGCAAACUUUAGCUGUUCAGGCGGACACACUGAGCAUGAAAUAUGAGUUAGAGUCGGAGCGCGGACAAGAGUUGGCCUCAUUGCUUAGAAAAAUUAGGACUUUGAGCGUUAGAGCGAAAUUCUAUUUGUAACUUAACUUUAUGUAAAAGAUUUUAUUUUCAAGUAAAAUUUUCUAAGGGCAAUUAAAUCAAAAAUUGAUACCUCCUUUGCAUUCAUGCAUUUGUAUUACAUCAUAUCAUUAUGUAUUAAGGGCCAUAAGAGUUUUCUAAUUAAUUAAUUAAAAAUUAUUUCAGUAACCUGGAAACCAACGAAAACCAACCAACCACACACCCCUACGGUACAAGGAAAAAAUCAAUUGAUAAGAGACUCGAGAAAUUAGAGCAAAUGCAAAAAGACAUGCAAGAACAAAUGCAGUCUCAGAUGCAAGAGCAGCUAGCCAAGAUUCAGCGAGAGAUGAAAGAGCAAAUGAUGGAGUCCCAGAGGGAAAUGAUGAGUCAGUUAUCCCAAUUGCUGUUGGGAGGAACGAAUAAGGGAAAGGGCCCCAUGGACAAAGUUGAAGAAGCUAAUGAGGAUCCUCAAUACCCCCUGGCUUCACUCCGACACAUGUACCAGUGAAGCCCGAGAUUAAUCUACCAAAACCAUCUGUCACGAUCAUGCCCCAACAGGUUCAGGCCAGAGCUUUAAUACCGAUGAAUUUCUAAACCGACUCAGGCUCUAACUUUGUCAACAACCCGAACUAUCUGCCCGUUCCCGACCUAGAUGAAAUUGUUGAAGAAGAAAAAGCGAGGAUGGAUUCGCAAAAACAAUUGAAAGAACGGUGUAGAUGGCUUGAGGAGAAAUUCAAAGCCAUGAAGAGCGCGGAUCAUCAUCAAGGGAUUGACGCCAAAGACCUGAGUCUAGUCCCAGACUUAGUCCUUCCCCCUAAAUUUAAAAUGCCCGAAUUCGAGAAAUACAAUGGAACGAGCUAUCCUGAAGCCCACAUCACUAUGUUCUGCAGGUGAAUGACGGGAUAUGUUAACAAUGACCAGCUAUUAAUCCACUGUUUUCAAGAUAGUCUGGUCGGGGCGGCGUCUAAGUGGUACAACCAAUUAAGCCGAGCUAAAAUUAAUUCAUAGAAGGACCUGGCUCAGGCUUUUAUGAAGCAAUACAAUCACGUGGCGGACAUGACCCCUGAUAGAAUCACUCUCCAGAAUAUGGAGAAAAAGUCAAAUGAAAGCUUCAGGCAGUACGCACAAAGAUGGAGGGAGGUGGCCAUAGAAGUUCAGCCUUCACUUUUAAAAAAGGAGACAACGAUGCUCUUUAUAAAUACCUUGAAGGCUCCUUUUAUCACUCAUAUGUUGGGAAGCGCCACCAAGAGCUUCUCUGACAUAGUGAUGACGGGAGAAAUGAUCAAAAAUACUGUAAGAAGCGGCAAGAUAGAAUCGGAAGCAAGUGCUAGGAAGUCAGCCCCGAGGAAAAUAGACAAUGAAGUGAACAACACGAGUACAUUCAAUAAGGGGCAGCCCAAGUUAAUUACCGUAAAUCAACCCAAAACGGUGACUACCAAUCAACAAAGCUCUGUAAGGCAAGAAUCCAAUGCGAGGAAGAACACAGAAAGGCCACAAUACACCCCUAUACCCAUGACGUAUAGGGAGUUGUACCAGAACCUGUUCAACGCUCAUGUGGUCUCCCCUUUCUACCUGGAGCCACUGCAGCCCCCGUAUCCUAAAUGGUAUGAUACAAACGCCCAAUGUGAAUACCACGCAGGAAUUACCGGGCACUCAAUCAAAAAUUGUACUGCGUUCAAGAAAGUGGUCGAAAGACUCAUUAAGAUGGGAAUCGUGAGAUUUGAUGACCCAGCCACGCCCAAUGUAGCAGGAAACCCACUCCCCAAUCAUACCGACCAAGGAGUGAAUGGGAUAAGUGAAGGCUUGAACAGCCAAGUAUGAGGUGGCAGAAAUCAGGACCCCGUUGAGGCGGGUAUGGAAAGAGAUGGCCAAGAGAGGAUUGAUAGCAUUGGAUCCAAGGGAAGAACCCGAAGAAGAGAGAAACUACUGUGAGUUUCAUGACGAGGUGGGGCAUGAAACCCAAGAAUGUGUGGAAUUCAGGGCCCUCGUGCAGAACAUGAUAGAUAAUAAAGAAAUGGAAUUCUACGAAGAAGCUAAAAGCCCCAUAGAGGGAAAUGUAUGCGCAUCCGAGGGAGAAUCAAAGGCACAGAAUCAAACACCUAAUUAUCCCGUGGUGAUUAUUUUGAGACCCAAAAAUAAUAAAGCUGGAGUACAAAUGCCACCGAGGAUUAUAAUCCAAAAACCUGCAGUUUUCCCUUACAAAGACAACAAAAAGGUCUCAUGGAAUUAUGAUUGCAGUGUGACGAUGCCGGGAAAAGAGAGCCUGGUUGGCGCUUCAAGAGGGGAUCAAGAUAGAGGUUCCUAUACACGUAGCGAGAGGCGUUACAAUACGGUGAAUAAGGAGGAACAACCCACAAAAGGAAAAGCCCAGGUGGUCGAAGAAAUGAAGGGAAAAGUAACCAAACUUGUUAAUGAGCUAGUUAACGAAGAGGAGACCAAGGAGUUUUUAAAGUUCCUAAAGCAUAGCGAAUACAGUGUGGUGGAAUAGCUACGUAAACAACCAGCCCGCAUUUCAGUGCUGGCCUUGCUUCUGAGCUCAGAAGUCCAUCGUAGCGCGCUAAUGAAGGUCUUGAAUGAAACGUAUGUUGCCAAUGAUAUUUCCGUUAACAAGUUAGACUGCUUGGUUAACAACAUCAGUACCGAUAACUAUAUCUUCUUUAAUGACGAUGAGAUAUCUCCCGGGGGCAUGGGGUCAACUAAAGCUCUGUAUACCACCACACGCUAUAAAGGGUAUACGUUGCCAGGCGUACUGAUUGACAAUGGAUCGGCUCCUGCCGUUGACCACGCUAAACAGAUUACCUAUAGACAGCUCUCACAUGAAAGAGUGCCAGAGCAUCGUGAAGGCAUUCGAUGGCACGGAGAGAAAGGUGAUGGGCAGAAUCGAUGUACCUCUUUAGAUUGGGCCAAAUACAUAUGAGGUGGAUUUCCUCGUAAUGGACAUCAAGCCCUCAUACAAUUGCUUGUUGGGGAGGCCCUGGAUACAUUCAGCUGGGGCAGUGCCUUCCUCGUUGCAUCAAAAGUUGAAGCUAGUAUCGGAGGGGAGGUUGAUAACGAUCAAGGCUGAAGAAGAUAUUAUUGCAACUGUGAGCAAUAAUGCACCCUAUUUGGAGACAGAUGACGAAGCAAUCGAAUGCUCAUUUCGAUCUUUGGAAUUUGUUAACGCGACGUUCAUCGCCGAGGAAAGCAAAAUUCUGGUGCCAAAAUUGUCCAAAACCACGAGGAUGAGCCUCCAGUUGACGAUUGUAAAAGGGGCCCUACCCGGAAGGGGACUUGAGAGACACCUACAAGGAAGGAUCGAAACGCCAAUGCUGAAAGAAAAGAGAGACCGCUUCAGCUUAAGAUUUAAGCCGGAUGUGAAACAAAGGAGAAGGGAGUUGGAAAAGAAGUAAGAAAGAAGGAGAGCUCGAUUAACGGGGGAGGAAAUCAAGUGAGAACAAUGAUAUUCCCCUAUAUAUCGAACACAUUUGUGUUUGGGGGAAUCAUUCAUCCCGAGAGAGACACGCUAAUGACGGGAGCUAUAGAAGAAAGGCUGGAAAGCUUGGACGUCAACGUCAUGUAUGAAGAGGAGACUGGAAGAGAAAGUUUAUUGGACAUUGGCCCCUACACACCUGGAAGUGUUCUGGACAACUGGACUACGGAAGAGAUCCCUGUAGUUUUUAGAACGAAUUCAGAGUAAUGUCUAAAACACACUUAUUGUUCUAGGCCUAGGAGUGAAAAGGAUCUUUUGUGAAAUAGGCUGAUGUUUAAAAACGUUCCUUCAAUAAAAUGCACGGUUAUUAUCAUUUUUGAGCAAAUGUUAUCUCGUCCUUUCAAUUCCAUUCAUAACCAUACAAAUGAUUACUUUCGAAUUCUUUUAUUCUUGAAACAUUCUUCUAAAUAUUCUUUCAUUCGUCAUUCAUAAUCAUAUCAUGCAAACAAAUGUUUUGAAUUCUUUUGAUUCUUUGUAUCUGCCUUCGUCCUCACAACAGGUCCCCAGAUAUUAAUGAUACGAGUGACGCUGCUAGCGACUCAGAAUUUCCUUUCAAGCAAGAUGUGUGUAUGGAGGGUUCUCGGGAUUUUGAAGAUGACCAAGGCUAUAACCUAUCUCCUAAUUUGUUGAGGAUGGUAGAACAAGAGGAGAAACAAAUCCUACCUCACAAAGAAUCAGUUGAAAUUGUGAGCUUAGGAGAAGGACAAGAGGUGAAGAUCGGAACAUGUAUCAUUGCGGAAAUGAAGCGAGACCUCAUUGAAUUGCUUCAAGAAUUUAAAGAUGUCUUCGCAUAGUCAUACCAAGAUAUGCCCGGGUUGGAUACUGACAUCGUGGUGCACCGACUCCCCAUAAAAAAAAUGUAAGCCAGUUCAGCAAAAACUCCGAAGAAUGAGGCCCGAUGUCUUGCUAAAAAUAAAGGAAGAGGUUUGAAAGCAGUUUGACGCUGGAUUUCUGAAGGUGGUAAAAUACUCAGAUUGGGUAGCCAACAUCGUCCCUGUCCCUAAGAAAGAUGGAAAAGUGCGAAUGUGUGUAGAUUACAGAUAUUUGAAUAAAGCCAGCCCAAAAGACAAUUUCCCACUACCUUAUAUCGACGCCUUAGUGGACAACACAGCGGGACAUUCACUGUUUUUAUUCAUGGACGGUUUUUUGGGAUACAACCAGAUCAAGAUGCAUAUUGAAGAUAUGGAGAAAACCACGUUUGUAACCAUGUGGGGCACGUUCUGUUACAAGGUGAUGCCGUUUGGACUGAAGAAUGCGGGGGCAACUUAUCAAAGAGCCAUAGUAACCCUUUUUCACAACAUGAUGCAUAAAGAGAUCGAGGUUUAUAUCGAUGACAUGAUCGCAAAGUCUCGAACAGAGAAGGAGCACAUUCAAGUCCUGAGGAAAUUGUUCUUGAGGUUGAGGAAGUUCCAGCUAAAACUCAACCCAGCCAAAUGUACCUUCGGAGCUAAGUCUGGAAAGUUGCUUGGAUUCGUGGUUAGUGAGAAAGGGAUUGAGAUCGAUCCAGACAAAGUUAAAGCCAUACAAGAGUUAUCCCCGCUGCGCACUCAAAAAGAAGUUCGAGGCUUUCUAGGAAGAUUAAAUUACAUUACUCGGUUCAUUUCACAACUGACUGAGAAAUGUAACUCUGUCUUUCGCCUUUUCAAGAAACAUAACCCAAGUGAAUGGGAUGAAGAAUGCCAAAGGGUUUUCGACAAGGUAAAACAGUACUUAUCCAAUGCCCCGGUGCUGAUGCCACCUAACCUUGAUAAGCUGUUGAUACUGUAUUUGGCAGUAUUCCAAAACUCAUGGGAUGCAUAUUGGGUCAGCAUGAGGAGUCAGGAAGGAAAGAGAAAGCCAUUUACUAUCUUAGUAAAGAGUUUAUAGAAUGUGAGGCAAGGUAUCCGCCGAUAGAGAAGUUGUGUUGUGCCCUAAUUUGGACAACCCGAAGACUGAGGCGGUAUAUGUUGUAUCACACCACUUGGCUCAUAUCAAAGUUGGACCCUUUAAAGUACAUGAUGGAGUCAACAGCCUUGAAUGGAAGGAUGGCCCGAUAGCAGAUUCUGCUUUCUGAAUUCGACAUAGUCUAUGUGAACCAGAAAGCAAUAAAAGGAAGUGCAAUAGCAGACUUUCUAGCCAGUAGAGCUUUGGAAGACUGCGAGCCUUUGAACUUCGACUUCUCGAAUGAAGACCUAAUGUGUGUUGCUACCACUAAAGAAGGUGCUCUGGAAGAACUUCCUUAGAAAUUGAACUUCAAUGGGGUAUCAAAUGCUGUGGGCAAUGGAGUCGGGGCCGUCUUGGUAUCCCCAAAUGGAGAUCAUUAUCCAUUCACUAGUAAAUUGGAUUUUGAUUGUACGAAUAAUAUGGCGGAAUACGAAGCGUGCAUCAUAGGUAUCCGCGCAGUCAUAGAACGCAAGAUUAAAGUGCUAGAGGUGUAUGGGGAUUCUGCGCUAGUGAUUUAUCAACUCAAAGGAGAAUGGGAGACCAGAGACCCCAAGUUAAUCGAUUAUCGGAAGCUGGUCCUGGAAUUGGUUAAAGAGUUUGAUGGCAUUACCUUUCACUACCUUCUACGAGACGAAAAUCAGAUGGCUGACGCUUUGGCUACCUUAGCCUCCAUGAUCAAGGUGAACAAACAAGAAGAUUUCAAACCCAUCCGAAUAAGCAUUUAUGAAAUUCCGUCCCACUGUUACAAUAUUGAAGAAAAUAAAGAGAAAGAUGAUCACCCUUGGUAUCAGGAUAUAUUGCAAUACGUGAAGAAUCGUGAGUACUCGGACCAGGCGAGCGAGAAUGACAAAAAAACAUUAAGAAGAUUGGCCUUCGACUAUGUCUUAGAUGGAGAUAUCCUAUACAAAAGAAGAAAGGAUCAAGUGCUACUAAGAUGUGUAGACACUGUAGAGGCUAAGAAAAUCUUGGAAAAAAUCCAUGAAGGUGUCUGUGGGACACACGCUAAUGGCUUUACAAUGGCCAGGCAAAUUAUGAGAUUCGGGAACUAUUGGUCCACCAUGGAAGGAGACUGUGUCAACUACGCUAAAAGAUGCUAUAAGUGCCAAAUCUACGGAGACAAAAUUCAUGUGCCUCCUUCACCGCUACAUGUCAUGAUUUCUCUAUGGCCAUUCUCUAUGUGGGGCAUGGAUGUGAUUGGACCAAUAUCGCCGAAAGCUUCCAAUGGGUAUCGGUUCAUUUUUGUGGUUAUCGACUACUUCACCAAGUGGGUAGAAGUCGCUUCGUAUGCUAGUGUGACGAAGUCGGCAGUGAGCAAGUUUCUGAAAAAGGAGAUUAUAUGUCGAUAUGGAAUGCCGGGGAGGAUCAUAUCUGACAAUGCAUUAAACUUGAACAACAGUACGAUAGCGGAGGUCUGUAGUCAAUUUAAGAUCAGACAUCACAACUCGUCACCAUAUCGCCCGAAAAUGAAUGGGGCAGUGGAAGCGGCCAAUAAAAAUAUUAAGAAGAUUGUAGGAAAGAUGACCGAAACCUACAGAGAUUGGCAUGAGAAAUUACCGUUUGCCCUAUUUGUUUAUCGAACGUCAGUUAGAACCUCAACCGGGGUAACCCCUUUCUCCCUGGUCUACGAAAAUCGAAGUCGAUAUCCCGUCUCUUCGAGUGUUGUCGGAGUUAAAGUUAGAAGAAGCCGAGUGGAUCCAGUCUUGAUUUGAUCCAUUGAACCUAAUUGAGGAAAAGAGGUUAAGAGCGAUCCGUCACGGUCAGAUGUACCAAAAGCGAAUGAUUCGGGCUUAUGACAAAAAGGUUCGCCCUAGAGAAUUCCACGAAGGAAACUUGGUUUUGAAAAAGAUCCUUCCCAUACAGAAGGACUUUCGAGGGAAAUGGAUGCCUAAUUGGGAAGGGCCUUACGUGGUGAAGAAAUCUUUCUCUGGAGGAGCAUUGAUUCUAGCCAAGAUGGACGAUAGAAACUUGCCCAAUCCUGUGAACUCAGAUUCGAUCAAGAAGUAUUUUACCUGAAGAAUUAGAGGCCAGAGCGAAAACCCGUAAAAGGCACUCUGAAAUAAAAAAAACGGAGAGGCCAAGGUGAAAACCCGCAAAGGGCACUUUGGAACCAAAUGGGCUUUUGAGUUGAAAACCCGAAAACAGGCAGCUCAAAUUUUGAAUUGGGCCAUAUGGUAAUCUUGUCCUUCUAAAAUCAACAAGACAGAAGAACAGUACACCUUUGAGCAUCAACAAAAUGCGCAGGAUCUCUUGAAUACACAUUUGGUUCAAAGGAGCCUUUGAGAAAUUAGAAUAGUAAAACUCGUGCUGCGAUAUCUGAGGCACAUUUUCUCAUUUUUUGCACCUUAUCAGAUUCGUAUUCCUAUGUAUUCACAUCAAAAUUUUGCUUAAUAAAAUUCCAUUUGUCCAUUAUGAUAAUCUCUUUCGAGUAUUUUUGUUGAAAUCACGAUUUUUGAACAUGUAAUAUCUACACACAAGAUGUUAUGCAUAUUACACUGGAAAAGUCUCUAAAUAGUACAAAGACCUGAAAUAGGGUCACUAGUCAGAACUAACCAGGUUCAAAGUUGGAAAACAUUGGAAAAACAGUAGUCCCAAAUUAGGAUUAUUUCUUCAAAUUUUCUGUCAAAGAUAACGGCUAAGCAAGAAGACGCGAUAGCACAUCAAAGAUAGAACCCGAAUGAAUCAUGAGCAAUGAUACCUUAAGCGUUUAAAGAGGAAUUAUUCUCAUAACACUUCUACAUUCAUAAUCAUUCAUUUAGUUAGGAGCACUUGAUUCAUCUCGAUCCUAGCAUCCUAAUUACUUGAUACAGGAAACCAAUUCUACAAAUCAUGUCUUUAGAAGACGGUGUAGUGACAUUGGCGAAUCCUACAGAUCCUGCUUCCCUGAAGUUGCAGUAGAGCAGAUCAAAGACGACGAAUCUUGACUUCCUGAAGUUGCAGUGAAGCAAAUUUAAGUCACUAACCUAGCUCCCUAAAGUUGUAGUGGAGUAGGUUGAAAUUUUAGAUCUCGUUUCCCUGAAGUUGCAGUGGAGCAGAUCAAAGACGAUGAAUCUUGACUUCCUGAAGUUGCAGUGAAGCAGAUUUAAGUCACUAACCUAGCUCCCUAAAGUUGUAGUAGAGUAGGCUAAAAUAUAGAUCUCGUUUCCCUGAAGUUGCAGUGGAACAGAUCAAAGACGACGAAUUUUAACUCCCGGAAGUUACAGUGAAGCAGAUUUAAGUCACUAACCUAGCUCUCUAAAGUUGUAGUGGAGUAGGCUGAAAUUUUAGGUCUCGUUUCCCUGAAGUUGCAGUGGAGCAGAUUGAAGACGGCGAAUCUAGACUUCCUGAAGUUGCAGUGAGGUAGAUUUAAGCCACUAACCUAGCUCUCUAAAGUUGUAGUGGAGUAAGCUGAGAAAUAUAGAUAUCGUUUCCCUGAAGUUGCAGUGGAGCAGAUCAAAGACGACGACUCUAGGCUUCCUGAAGUUGCAAUGAGGCAGAUUUAAGCCACUAACCUAGCUCCCUAAAGUUGUAGUGGUGUAGACUGAGAAAUAUAGAUUUUGUUUCUUUGAGAUUGCAGUGGAACAGAUCAAAGACGGUGAAUCUAGGCUUCCUGAUGUUACAGUGAAGCAGAUUUAGACUAUCGUCCUAGCUCCCUAAAGUUGUAGUGGAGUAGGCUGACGAUUGUAGAUCUCGUCUCCAGUGGAGCAGAUCGGAGAAAAUGAGCCUUAAACCCCUUAAGUAGUAGGGCAACAGGCUGAAGAUUGCAAGAUUUUGUCUCCCUGAAGUUGCAGUGGAGCAAAAUCAAAGUCACGAUCCUUAUCUCUCUGAAGUUGCAGUAGAGCAGGAUAAAAACACACGGACCAUGUCUCCCUGAAGUUGCAGUGGAGCAUAUUGAAGCUACUUGAAGAAAAGAAGCGUCAAUAAGUCGAGGCUCAGCAGGUCUCAGCAAAAUUGGCCUAUUUAUAGUCUUUGCUCUAUUCUCGUUACACGACAAUGAGCAAAGAGAGGCAGCUGUAGUGACCAAUUUUGGUCCGGGUCCGCUAAAAAAUCUCAAACCUAUAUAUAAAAUAAAUAAAUAAAUAAUAAAAAACCACAGUCCAAUUACAGAAACUAAUAGCCCAAACUAGCAACCCCAAACCAGUUACAUAACCCCAGCCCAACAACUAAACCUAACCCACACUUACAAGGCCCGAUAGGCCCAAAAAACUAAAAUUAGACAGAGCCCUAGCUGUCUGCUUGCGCCGCAGCAGUCCGAGCCCCCUAGCGCCUCCGUCCACGCCAACCCUGGCCUCCGUAUUGUCCAGCACAGCCUCCGUACGCCAACACAAUCCCGUACCCGAGCGCCAC